rnacentral:rRNA from 1 species
CUGGCUCAGGAUGAACGCUAGCUACAGGCUUAACACAUGCAAGUCGAGGGGCAUCAGGAUGUAGCAAUACAUUGCUGCGACCGGCGCACGGGUGAGUAACACGUAUCCAACCUGCCUUUUACUCGGGGAUAGGCUUUCGAAAGAAAGAUUAAUACCCGAUGGUAUAAUAUUUCCGCAUGGGAUUAUUAUUAAAGAAUUUCGGUAAAAGGUGGGGAUGCGUUCCAUUAGGCAGUUGGCGGGGUAACGGCCCACCAAACCUUCGAUGGAUAGGGGUUCUGAGAGGAAGGUCCCCCACAUUGGAACUGAGACACGGUCCAAACUCCUACGGGAGGCAGCAGUGAGGAAUAUUGGUCAAUGGGCGAAAGCCUGAACCAGCCAAGUAGCGUGAAGGAUGACUGCCCUAUGGGUUGUAAACUUCUUUUAUAGGGGAAUAAAAUGAGCCACGUGUGGCUUUUUGUAUGUACCCUAUGAAUAAGGAUCGGCUAACUCCGUGCCAGCAGCCGCGGUAAUACGGAGGAUCCGAGCGUUAUCCGGAUUUAUUGGGUUUAAAGGGAGCGUAGGUGGACAUGUAAGUCAGUUGUGAAAGUUUGCGGCUCAACCGUAAAAUUGCAGUUGAUACUGUGUGUCUUGAGUACAGUAGAGGUGGGCGGAAUUCGUGGUGUAGCGGUGAAAUGCUUAGAUAUCACGAAGAACUCCGAUUGCGAAGGCAGCUCACUGGACUGCAACUGACACUGAUGCUCGAAAGUGUGGGUAUCAAACAGGAUUAGAUACCCUGGUAGUCCACACAGUAAACGAUGAAUACUCGCUGUUUGCGAUAUACAGUAAGCGGCCAAGCGAAAGCAUUAAGUAUUCCACCUGGGGAGUACGCCGGCAACGGUGAAACUCAAAGGAAUUGACGGGGGCCCGCACAAGCGGAGGAACAUGUGGUUUAAUUCGAUGAUACGCGAGGAACCUUACCCGGGCUUAAAUUGCAUUUGAAUAUAUUGGAAACAGUAUAGCCGUAAGGCAAAUGUGAAGGUGCUGCAUGGUUGUCGUCAGCUCGUGCCGUGAGGUGUCGGCUUAGGUGCCAUAACGAGCGCAGCCCUUAUCUUUAGUUACUAACAGGUCAUGCUGAGGACUCUAGAGAGACUGCCGUCGUAAGAUGUGAGGAAGGUGGGGAUGACGUCAAAUCAGCACGGCCCUUACGUCCGGGGCUACACACGUGUUACAAUGGGGGGUACAGAAGGCAGCUACCUGGUGACAGGAUGCUAAUCCCAAAAGCCUCUCUCAGUUCGGAUCGAAGUCUGCAACCCGACUUCGUGAAGCUGGAUUCGCUAGUAAUCGCGCAUCAGCCAUGGCGCGGUGAAUACGUUCCCGGGCCUUGCACACACCGCCCGU